CUUUACCUGGUAAAAAAGCCGCCUGGCCUUUGCUUGUCGCCGGGUUUCUAGAGGGGACGUCUGGCUUUAGCCGAAGGAAGUUUGAAGCAAAAACAGGUUUGGGAAGCCCUUAGAAGUUUUGGGCCGCCAGGCGGGUACCAUGACAGAACCAGCGAGUUUUUUUCCUUGGCCGGAAGGUCUGGGUAAUCUUGUGAAACUCUGUCGUGCUGGGGAUAGAGCAUUGCAAUUAUUGCUCUUCAACGAGGAAUUCCUAGUAAGCGUGAGUCAUCAGCUCGCGUUGAUUACGUCCCUGCCCCUUUG
rnacentral:rRNA from 1 species